rnacentral:tRNA from 1 species
UGGUGUAGCUCAGUUGGCAGAGCAACUGAUUCGUAAUCAGUAGGUCGGGGGUUCGACUCCCCCCAUUA